CGUACGAUAGAUAGGUAAUUAGAAAAGUUUAACCGGUGUAUCUGUGCACAUAUGAAAUGAAUAUAUCAGACAAAUUAUCUGGAAUGCCCACAUAAUCGACAGUAAAAUAAAUUUUAGUUUUAACUUCUACGAUUAGAAAUUAUUGUUAAUAAUUAAUGAUCUGAUUAUAAGAGAAUUAAAAGUUUCUUAUAUCUUUAUGUGAAAUAUGCAAAGUAUACAUUAUACAUAUCAAUAUCCUUCACAUACAGAACCUACUUCUAAUUGCAAAUCCUGAUUGCAAUCACAUGUGUAAUGUAUGCUACAUUAUUCAUUUAUAUCGAACUUUAGAAACGUAGGCAACUCAUGGAACUCAUUAAAACCAGUUUUUAGUAAUUUUUUACACGCACACACGCACACGCACGCGCGCGCGCGCACACACACACACACACACACACACACAAAACAUCUCGAUUGGAAUACGAAAUAUUUUUUCCUACUAGUUUGUACCUACAUUUUUUGAAACAAUUAAUUUCUUUUAGAUUACCUAUCAAGUUAUAUAAUAACAUAAAAAUCUGCAUGAAUUGAAUUAAAAUUAAAGUUGCAGUACUCGAAAAUUCAGAUGCCAUUUAUACAAAUAUAUCAUAAACAUUUCCCAAAAAUCUUACUUAACUAAAACAAUACAUACAUAUAUCUGAAAUGAAUAAGUGACAAUUAGAUAACAGCGACGUCGCGUAAUAAAGAUCAAAAGACAAUAAUUUAUUAAUUAAAUAACAAAAAUAAUAAUAUAAAAAUAUUACAAAAUAACAAAAAGACAUUUAAUUAAAAAAACUAAGAAUAAGACAUAUUUCAAAAAUUUAUGUAGAUCACGUGCAAAUGAUAAUGACCGGUGCAAAUAUGACAAUGACAAACUUAUGACAAUAAAUAAAGUAGUUUUUAUUAUCUGUUCGGCGAAAUUAUCGUUUGCCGUUCGUGCACGCGGCAAGCAAGAUAAACCGCGUGUCAAGUACGUAAAAGCUUUGGUACGUCGGAAGCGCAACGUGUGCACGCACCAGCCGUGCUGUGAUAGCGACAAGCGCGAAUUCGAGAAGCCAGACGUUGCGUUACUCGAUCCUAUGUCGCGACCGGUCCCAUCCAGCUUGUUACCAUCGAAAUGCUGAUGCUUUCGAUCGCUUCACUCACAUUGCUACGCGCGUUUCACAUGUGUCGAAUGCGGUCGGACUUAUCGCAGGAACGUUGAUCUUUCAAGCAAGAACACUUGUUUCUUGAUAAAAGAUCACGACAUCCGUUAUAUUGAUACAGCGAAUUAAUGAACUUACUGUCCGAAUUCACCGAGAAUUAUGGCCCCAACUCCUAGUAAAGCUACGGCGAUUAGGAUGUAAGUGGAGAUGCGUGUCUGCAGCCAGGAGGCUCCUACUACCUUCAGCAUGGCUCAUCGGUAAGCUAUACACCUUGGUUACGAGAAGAGAAGAAAGCAGAAAAGCACGAAUUUCGC